AUUGCUUCUCGGACUUUUGGUUAAGAUCAAGUAUAGUAUCUGUUCUUAUCAGUUUAAUAUCUGCUAAAAAAUUAAAUGGUUUUGCUAGGUAUAGUGCCUUUAAUCCCAGCACUUGGGAGGUAGAGGCAUACAGGUUUAUGUGAGCUACAAGCCAGGCAGGGCUAAAGAAAAAAUAAAAAACUUUAGUUAU